rnacentral:lncRNA from 1 species
AAAAAGCUGGAGGUAUAUUUAUUUUCGGCUCUUUCUGAAUUGUUCAUGGUUUUUUGUUUUUAUUAUUAUUAUGGUCUUUCGUCUUAGAUAUGUUUUUUUCUGUUUUUUAGUAGGUGGCUAAUAUUACCCUGAAUCCCCGAGUUGCAAGUUGUAUGAAGAUCCCAAGUUUUAGAAGGAUUUGGAAUUUCUGACAGAUGAGGAGCUUGAUAACUUUUAUAAUGAAUAUCUGAUUGAAGCCCUCUUCCAUAUGAGGCAACAUAAAUCCACUAAGCGUACGUGUCUUAGUGAUGGUGUUGUAAGGAAACGUUAUAAGCUGAUUUGUUGUCGGAAAGAAUGAUAAAAGCUUGGAAGCAUGUUAAAUCCAUCAACUGCUGGUAUUGUAAAUUGCACUCGAAAAGAGAAGAUUGUCCGUAGUUUAGAGCUAGGUGCCCAGCCUAUCUGAAGUUCAAGUGGUUUGACGCAAUUCAGGCGUAUAAAAUUGAAGAGUGGCAUAUUGGUCAUAACCAUCCAUUUGUAUUAGAGGAGC